rnacentral:lncRNA from 1 species
CUCAGUUCCUGUAGCAAAGAGACUUGAGUCUGAGCCACUAAUUAUCACCCGUGAGGUUUCCUCCCCGAGCAGGAAGCAGCAGGCCAGAGCUGCGCUCUCUCAGUGCACUCUCCAACCAAGCAUCAGUCACCACUCCCGGUCCAGCCCCUGUGGCCAAGAGCUGGCGUGCAGGCUGCGGGAGGCAGCUGGCUGUGCAAGACCCUGGCAGGGCCCUCGCCUCCUGAGAAACCGAGAGUCAGAACCAAAGCCAGGCUGUCCUGGUUGGAGACUGAGCCAGAAAGGGUGGCUCACCUCACGGUGAGGCUGUCGAGUGACCUGAGAGCCUCAGACCCUCACGUCAGCCGGAUGUCGCACCAGCCUGCUGUUGGUUCAAGCGAUUCUCCUGCUUCAGCCUCCGGAGUAGCUGGGAUUACAGGCACGUGCCAACACACCCAG